rnacentral:rRNA from 1 species
UGCUUACACAUGCAAGUCGCACGGGCAGCAAUGUCAGUGGCGGACGGGUGAGUAACGCGUAGGAACGUGUCCUGAGGUGGGGGACAACCCCGGGAAACUGGGGCUAAUACCGCAUAUGGGCUGAGGCCCAAAGCCGAGAGGCGCCUUUGGAGCGGCCUGCGUCCGAUUAGGUAGUUGGUGGGGUAAAGGCCUACCAAGCCUGCGAUCGGUAGCUGGUCUGAGAGGACGACCAGCCACACUGGGACUGAGACACGGCCCAGACUCCUACGGGAGGCAGCAGUGGGGAAUAUUGGACAAUGGGCGAAAGCCUGAUCCAGCAAUGCCGCGUGGGUGAAGAAGGUCUUCGGAUCGUAAAGCCCUUUCGACGGGGACGAUGAUGACGGUACCCGUAGAAGAAGCCCCGGCUAACUUCGUGCCAGCAGCCGCGGGGUAAUACAA